rnacentral:rRNA from 1 species
AUUGAACGCUGGCGGCAGGCCUAACACAUGCAAGUCGAACGAGUGGCGGACGGGUGAGUACUGUCUGGGCAACUGCCUGGUGGAGGGGGAUAACUACUGGAAACGGUAGCUAAUACCGCAUACCAUCGGAUGUGCCCAGAUGGGAGUAGCUUGUAGGUGGGGUAAAGGCUCACCAGGGCGACGAUCCCUAGCUGGUCUGAGAGGAUGACCAGCCACACGGGAACUGAGACACGGUCCAGACUACUACGGGAGGCAGCAGUGGGGAAUAUUGCACAAUGGGGGAAACCCUGAUGCAGCCAUGCCGCGUGUAUGAAGAAGGCCUUCGGGUUGUAAAGUACUUUCAGCGGGGAGGCGUUACCCGCAGAAGAAGCACCGGCUAACUCCGUGCCAGCAGCCGCGGUAAUUC